rnacentral:rRNA from 1 species
GACGAACGCUGGCGGCGUGCUUAACACAUGCAAGUCGAACGGAAAGGCCCUGCUUUUGUGGGGUGCUCGAGUGGCGAACAGGUGAGUAACACGUGAGUAACCUGCCCUUGACUUUGGGAUAACUUCAGGAAACUGGGGCUAAUACCGGAUAGGAGCUCCUGCUGCAUGGUGGGGGUUGGAAAGUUUCGGCGGUUGGGGAUGGACUCGCGGCUUAUCAGCUUGUUGGUGGGGUAGUGGCUUACCAAGGCUUUGACGGGUAGCCGGCCUGAGAGGGUGACCGGCCACAUUGGGACUGAGAUACGGCCCAGACUCCUACGGGAGGCAGCAGUGGGGAAUAUUGCACAAUGGGCGGAAGCCUGAUGCAGCAACGCCGCGUGCGGGAUGACGGCCUUCGGGUUGUAAACCGCUUUCGCCUGUGACGAAGCGUGAGGGACGGUAAUGGGUAAAGAAGCACCGGCUAACUACGU